rnacentral:rRNA from 1 species
GACGAGCCGUCCAAACGUUGUUCGGAAUCAUUGGGCUUAAAGGGCGCGUAGGCGGGCGACCGCGUCGAGUGCUGAAAGCCCCCGGCUUAACCGGGGAAUGGGCCUCGAUACGGGUCGCCUCGAGGCGAGGAGGGGGACCUGGAACUUCCGGUGGAGCGGUGAAAUGCGUUGAGAUCGGAAGGAACGCCGACGGCGAAAGCAAGGUCCUGGACUCGUCCUGACGCUGAGGCGCGAAAGCCAGGGGAGCGAACGGG